CCUUACCAACCCAAUCAGACGGACGAAAACGGACUAGUAUUUAAGAUGAAAAAGUUGCAUCUUGCACAAUCAUCCGCCACUCGAAACUCAGACCUGCCGACUUGGGGACAAGUGAAACGCCUGACUGCCGCUGCUGAACACCUGGUGAACAGCUCCGGAAAACCUAAAACCCCAGAGGCUUUGUUUUUUGCAUUGAUUGCUCUCAUUUCAACUCAGUCGUCCUCCGAGUAAUCCUCAGACUAGUCAA